UACGUAGGGGGCAAGCGUUGUCCGGAAUCAUUGGGCGUAAAGCGCGUGUAGGCGGCCAUGUAGGUCCGGUGUGAAAACUCGAGGCUUAACCUCGAGAUGUCAUCGGAAACCAUUUGGCUAGAGUCCGGAAGAGGAGAGUGGAAUUCCUGGUGUAGCGGUGAAAUGCGCAGAUAUCAGGAAGAACACCCGUGGCGAAGGCGGCUCUCUGGGACGGUACUGACGCUGAGACGCGAAAGCGUGGGGGAGCGAACAGG
rnacentral:rRNA from 1 species